GGAGCGCCGGGACAACGCCGGGCUUGGCUCUGCCGCCGGCGCCGCUGCCCACCAGCACCGCCAGCUUCUGCCGGGAGAGGGGGAGAAAGAAGCGGCACCGUCACCGCAGGGCUGCAGACGAACACGGCCCCACGGCCCCAGGCAGCACGGAUUUGGGGUUAUUUCUUUUGUUGGGGUUUACAGUUUUAUUCCUGGCAGGGGAGGGGCUGGGUUCCCCCUCUUUGCUCGGGAACUCGUGGGUUGCGCUCUGAGCUUCCAAAGUUUUCCACUGGUGUUCCUUGCACUGAUUUCAUGCCCUGUGGUAUGGUGCUGCAGAUGCCAAAGAGAAUUGGGACAGCAUGUGGAAGAGCUGACCACCUCCUCUCCUGCUCUACAGAAUAUUUCCUUGCAAAGCACCUAAUUAACCUCUACAGUGACAUAAAGCUCUCAGACUAAGAGUUCAGCCCUGUGGUUGUACUUUUGCUUUAUGUCCUGCGAAAAAUGCAAGCUCACAGACUGUCUGAAAAUGCUGUACUUGGUUACAGUGCUAGAAAUCCAUUGCCUAACUGCAGUUAGUCCAGGAAGGAAAUCCUAGCUCUGCUGCAAAUUACCAGAGGUUUGCUGAUGACAUUGGUAGCAUUGGGUAGGGAUUCUUUUGUGAUCCUAGGAGCAUUUGCUAUUCCUGAUAGAUCACUGUACUGAUGAAGUGUCUUUUAAUAUUUGUCCUCAGACAUGAAUGUGUGGGUUACUGAAUGAAAAAUUUCUUACAGAAACACUCAGCAUUACUCUGAUUUCAUAUUUUCACUUCAAGUUUUAAUAAGUAAUAUUCUAGUAGUAUUGGUACAGCUUUACUUCUUCCUCAGACAGUUCAGCAACAGAAAACAUCUAAGCAAGUAACACUUGACUCCAAAAGAUAGACAAUCCUUGGUAGGUCAGUGGAAAGAACAAGUAAAUUAAGUAGAAGUAGAUUUUAACUUUCUUGACUAACUUCAAUAGCAACUAUUUGCUUUUUGUCUUGUUUCAAAGGAGCAAAUUAGCCGAGAAGUACAAAAACAGAAAUUCUGUAAACAAACAAAAAAAUAUCACUACUUAAACUACCAUCCAUCCUUUCCCCCUACAAGCAUUAACAGUGAGUCAGUUUGAUGCAUGUUAACAUUUUUCUUAAUAACCUCACAAUCCUGUCUGUUAAUGUGUAUGCAACCCAAAGAGCUAAGGAAAUAAAGAUUACUGCUUGUUUCA
rnacentral:lncRNA from 1 species